rfam:Oryza nivara chromosome 1, whole genome shotgun sequence.
AGUAAGUGCAGUUUUGUAUGAUUCAUCUCCAAUGUUUGACCGUUCGUUUUAUUCGAAGAAUUUUUAUGAUUACUGCUUUUAUUGUUAUUAGAUGAUAAAACAUGAAUAGUACUUUAUAUGUGACUAAUUUUUUUAAAAUUUUUCGUAAAUUUUUUAAAUAAGACGGACGGUCAAAUAUUGGACAUGGAUUUUUACGGCUGUAUUUAUU